rnacentral:rRNA from 1 species
GCGCUGCUAUACAUGCAGUCGAGCGGAAGUUGAUAGGAAGCUUGCUUCCUUGAUACUUAGCGGCGGACGGGUGAGUAACACGUAGGCAACCUGCCCUCAAGCUUGGGACAACUACCGGAAACGGUAGCUAAUACCGAAUACUUGCUUUCUUCGCCUGAAGGAAGCUGGAAAGACGGAGCAAUCUGUCACUUGAGGAUGGGCCUGCGGCGCAUUAGCUAGUUGGUGAGGUAACGGCUCACCAAGGCGACGAUGCGUAGCCGACCUGAGAGGGUGAUCGGCCACACUGGGACUGAGACACGGCCCAGACUCCUACGGGAGGCAGCAGUAGGGAAUCUUCCGCAAUGGGCGAAAGCCUGACGGAGCAAUGCCGCGUGAGUGAUGAAGGUUUUCGGAUCGUAAAGCUCUGUUGCCAGGGAAGAACGUCCUUGAGAGUAACUGCUCAAGGAGUGACGGUACCUGAGAAGAAAGCCCCGGCUAACUACGUGCCAGCAGCCGCGGUAAUACGUAGGGGGCAAGCGUUGUCCGGAAUUAUUGGGCGUAAAGCGCGCGCAGGCGGUCAUUUAAGUCUGGUGUUUAAUCCCGGGGCUCAACCCCGGAUCGCACUGGAAACUGGGAUGACUUGAGUGCAGAAGAGGAGAGUGGAAUUCCACGUGUAGCGGUGAAAUGCGUAGAUAUGUGGAGGAACACCAGUGGCGAAGGCGACUCUCUGGGCUGUAACUGACGCUGAGGCGCGAAAGCGUGGGGAGCAAACAGGAUUAGAUACCCUGGUAGUCCACGCCGUAAACGAUGAGUGCUAGGUGUUAGGGGUUUCGAUACCCUUGGUGCCGAAGUUAACACAUUAAGCACUCCGCCUGGGGAGUACGGUCGCAAGACUGAAACUCAAGGAAUUGACGGGACCCGCACAGCAGUGGAGUAUGUGGUUUAAUUCGAAGCAACGCGAGAAC